rnacentral:rRNA from 1 species
AUUGAACGCUGGCGGCAUGCCUUACACAUGCAAGUCGAACGGCAGCACGGGUGCUUGCACCUGGUGGCGAGUGGCGAACGGGUGAGUAAUACAUCGGAACAUGUCCUGUAGUGGGGGAUAGCCCGGCGAAAGCCGGAUUAAUACCGCAUACGAUCUACGGAUGAAAGCGGGGGCCCUUCGGGCCUCGCGCUAUAGGGUUGGCCGAUGGCUGAUUAGCUAGUUGGUGGGGUAAAGGCCUACCAAGGCGACGAUCAGUAGCUGGUCUGAGAGGACGACCAGCCACACGGGGACUGAGACACGGCCCAGACUCCUACGGGAGGCAGCAGUGGGGAAUUUUGGACAAUGGGCGAAAGCCUGAUCCAGCAAUGCCGCGUGUGUGAAGAAGGCCUUCGGGUUGUAAAGCACUUUUGUCCGGAAAGAAAUCCUUGGCCCUAAUACGGUCGGGGGAUGACGGUACCGGAAGAAUAAGCACCGGCUAACUACGUG